UAGCUCAAUUGGCAGAGCAGCUGAUUUGUAAUCAGCAGGUUGCGGGUUCAAGUCCCAUCGCC
rnacentral:tRNA from 1 species